ensembl:lncRNA
AAUCACGCGGGGACUCCAGCCGACAUCCCUUUCCCAGUACCUCCCACAGAUCCACAGGGCUCCACGUGCUCCAAGACAGCUCUCAGCCGCCCAGGCCAACCCAGUGCAAUGAUGAAAGGGCAUCGGUCAGGCCCGACCCCCACCCACAGCACUUCUGAGGAGGGAGUUUUGCAGCCUCGGUCCACUUCCCAGUGAUGAGGGGCAGUUGCGGAGCUGGGCUGGACCCUCCGUCGGAAGAUCAGGGAGAUCUGCUGCCCUGAGCCUGCAGGGGGCACUGUGGUGCCUGGCACGCCCACCCUUGCAGGUGGAGUUGGGGAUACUGGAGGUGAACUGCCAAGAGGCCUGGCCCCAGGUGUGCUUGAAGGGCCACCUCCACCAUCAGGACCUGACACAGUUCAAAACCAGUGACAGUUAUUCAAGCCUGUCUCUUUGAGAGGAGGCCCAGGUCUCCAGAUGGGUGUUUGGGAGUACCCCUCACCCUGGGUUGACCACAUCAAGACACUAGCUUCACCUCCACCCUGGGGGUAGAAGCCCUGGCAUCCAUGGGGAGGGAGAGAGAUAAAGACACAUGCUCAUCUGAGUCCUAGGCCUGGCCCCUUGAGUUCCUCCAUCCCAAGGUCACCUGACUCAGGCCUGUCCUCCCUUCUCCUGGGCUCCAGGUGCCAUGGCUAGAAGCGGCCACCCUUACUUCUGUGCAGAUUCUGUACCCACUGGCUGGAGACCCCCUUGCAGCUGUCUCCUGCCCUUGCUGGGGGAGGCUUGUUAACUCAGGGCUCUGCUCGAAUGUUCCCUCCUGGGGGGAGCCUUUCCUGGGCUCCACGUCAUCCGGUAUCCCUCCAGCAAAGGCUGCCAGGUUGCAAUUUUCUCUUUGUGGCUGGAGUCCUCAUUAGACUGGGAGCCCCUGAGGGCGGAGACCACGUCCUUUUCUUUUACUCUUGGCAGUAUCCUACACAGAGGAGGGACCCAAAACACUUUUAAAAAAUACAAGUAGAUGCAUAAAGUGUGAAGUAUUAUUAGCAUACCAUGAUGGGGGAGGGGUGAAUCAAGAGUCUGCUUGACUCCUCAGAGGGUGCUUGUCCUGUCUAUAAAAAGGCACAUACUAAAUAUUUUAAAGUCAAGCCUCAUUUUGUAAGUCACAUGGGGUCAGAAAGUGGAAUGGAGAUCUGAAUCCAGGUGUACCUGUCUGCCUGCACCCCUAGGCAAACACACAGGCCGGACUUCUUCCUCCUUGGUUGUCUCCACCUU